rnacentral:sRNA from 1 species
CUGUGGAGUAUACAAGAACUUGUGAGUAGAUUGAUAUUUAUAUCAUCCAAAACAUAUACGUCGAAGCAGUAA